rnacentral:rRNA from 1 species
GACGAACGCUGGCGGCGUGCUUAACACAUGCAAGUCGAACGGAAAGGCCCUGCUUUUGUGGGGUGCUCGAGUGGCGAACGGGUGAGUAACACGUGAGUAACCUGCCCUUGACUUUGGGAUAACUUCAGGAAACUGGGGCUAAUACCGGAUAGGAGCUCCUGCUGCAUGGUGGGGGUUGGAAAGUUUCGGCGGUUGGGGAUGGACUCGCGGCUUAUCAGCUUGUUGGUGGGGUAGUGGCUUACCAAGGCUUUGACGGGUAGCCGGCCUGAGAGGGUGACCGGCAACAUUGGGAAUGAGAUACGGCCCAGACUCCUACGGGAGGCAGCAGUGGGGAAUCUUGCACAAUGGGCGGAAGCCUGAUGCAGCAACCCCGCGUGCGGGAUGACGGCCUUCGGGUUGUAAACCGCUUUCGCCUGUGACGAAGCGUGAGUGACGGUAAUGGGUAAAGAAGCACCGGCUAACUACGUG